AUACAGAGGGUGCGAGCGUUAAUCGGAAUUACUGGGCGUAAAGCGCGCGUAGGCGGCUACUUAAGUCAGAUGUGAAAUCCCCGGGCUCAACCUGGGAACUGCAUCUGAUACUGGGUAGCUAGAGUUUAGGAGAGGGAAGUAGAAUUUCAGGUGUAGCGGUGAAAUGCAUAGAGAUCUGAAGGAAUACCAGUGGCGAAGGCGACUUCCUGGCCUAAAACUGACGCUGAGGUGCGAAAGCGUGGGUAGCAAACGGGAUUAGAAACCCCAGUAGUCC
rnacentral:rRNA from 1 species